rnacentral:rRNA from 1 species
CUCGUAGGCGGUUCGUCGCGUCCGGUGUGAAAGUCCAUCGCCUAACGGUGGAUCUGCGCCGGGUACGGGCGGGCUGGAGUGCGGUAGGGGAGACUGGAAUUCCCGGUGUAACGGUGGAAUGUGUAGAUAUCGGGAAGAACACCAAUGGCGAAGGCAGGUCUCUGGGCCGUUACUGACGCUGAGGAGCGAAAGCGUUGGGAGCGAACA